GGGGAAUUUUCGACAAUGGGGGGAACCCUGAUCGAGCCAUCUCGCGUGUGGGACGAAGGCCUUCGGGUUGUAAACCACUUUUCUCAACGAAGAAAAGUCUUAGGCGAAUACCUUAAGAUGCUGACGGUAGUUGAGGAAUAAGCACCGGCUAACUACGUGCCAGCAGCCGCGGUAAUACGUAGGGUGCGAGCGUUAAUCGGAAUUACUGGGCGUAAAGGGUGCGCAGGCGGCUUGGAAAGAACGGUGUGAAAUCCCGGGGCUCAACCUCGGAACUGCACUAUUAACUGCCAAGCUAGAGUAUGUCAGAGGGGGGUGGAAUUCCGCGUGUAGCAGUGAAAUGCGUAGAUAUGCGGAGGAACACCGAUGGCGAAGGCAGCCCCCUGGGAUGGUACUGACGCUCAGGCACGAAAGCGUGGGUAGCGAACAGGAUUAGAUACCCUGGUAGUCCACGCCCUAAACGAUGUCAACUAGCUGUUGGGCCGGUUACGGCUUAGUAGCGCAGCUAACGCGUGAAGUUGACCGCCUGGGGACUACGGUCGCAAGACUAAAACUCAAAGGAAUUGACGGGGACCCGCACAAGCGGUGGAUGAUGUGGAUUAAUUCGAUGCAACGCGAAAAACCUUACCUACCCUUGACAUGCCCGGAAGCUUCAAGAGAUUGGAGUGUGCUCGCAAGAGAACCGGAGCACAGGUGCUGCAUGGCUGUCGUCAGCUCGUGUCGUGAGAUGUUGGGUUAAGUCCC
rnacentral:rRNA from 1 species